rnacentral:rRNA from 1 species
CCUACGGGAGGCAGCAGUGGGGAAUAUUGCACAAUGGGGGAAACACUGAUGCAGCAACGCCGCGUGAGCGUAGAAGGCCUUCGGGUCGUAAAGCUCUGUCCUAAGGGAAGAAGCAUGACGGUACCUUAGGAGGAAGCCCCGGCUAACUACGUGCCAGCAUCCGCGGUAAUACGUAGGGGGCGAGCGUUAUCCGGAAUCACUGGGCGUAAAGGGUUCGUAGCCGGCAAAUUAAGCCAGAGGUCAAAGGCUACGGCUCAACCGUAGUAAGCCUUUGGAACUGAAUGGCUUGAGUGAAGGAGAGGAGAGUGGAAUUCCUGGUGUAGCGGUGAAAUGCGUAGAUAUUAGGAGGAACACCAGUGGUGAAUGCGACUCUCUGGACUGUAACUGUCGCUUAGGCACUAAAGCGUGGGGAGCAAACAGGAUUAGAUCCCCGUGUAGUC